UACAGAGGGUGCAAGCGUUGUUCGGAAUUAUUGGGCGUAAAGGGCGCGUAGGCGGCCGAUUAAGUCGGGGGUGAAAGCCUGUGGCUCAACCACAGAAUUGCCUUCGAUACUGGUUGGCUUGAGACCGGAAGAGGACAGCGGAACUGCGAGUGUAGAGGUGAAAUUCGUAGAUAUUCGCAAGAACACCAGUGGCGAAGGCGGCUUACUGGUCCGGAACUGACGCUGAGGUGCGAAAGCGUGGGGAGCAAACAGG
rnacentral:rRNA from 1 species